GUGCUGGCAUAUCAGCUUGAAUGUGGCUUCCCAAGAGGUGCAAGUGCAAGCAAGGACUUCGCCAUUUUACUGCUGGGAUUCAAUGGACAAGGUUGCUAGAAGUGUUUCAAGGACACCAUUCUUUUCUGUAUGGUUGAUGUCCUGCUUGGUCUGUUCUUUGUGUGGCUUGUUUUGCAAGUGCAAGGCCAUUUGUUUUGUUGCGGUGGAAGGGAAGGCAGGAGGUAGAAGACUU